rnacentral:ncRNA from 1 species
GCAGAGUAGAAUCUGGCGCGUUAAGUGCUGCAUGUACGGGGAGUUGACAUGCGGACGAAAAGCAGUAGCUUGCGGUGCCGGGUUCGCAUCCCACUGC